GGUUCCGUAGCUCAGCCGGAUAGAGCAGGGCUUUCCUAAAGCCAAGGUCGGGGGUUCGAGUCCCUCCGGGACCGCCA
rnacentral:tRNA from 1 species